rnacentral:misc_RNA from 1 species
UCCCAGCAUGGGAUAAAUUCUCUGCAGACACGUGUUCUUGGCCUGGAGAUGGCAUUGGAUGAAAUUUCAUAUGACUUGGCAUUAUCAAGUGGAAGGAUUCCUAAUACUGACUCUGCAGAUAACACAUGUUGCAAACCGCCUGGUGCAGAAUUCUUGAGUUCUAAGUUCUGGAGGAGAACAGAAGGUCGGUAUUCUACUUCAAGGUUCUCUUCAUCUGGGAGCAUGCAAUCACCUCAUGCUGCACGAAACAUUUACGGUAAAGAUGCCAGCUCCGAAACAUUCAAUGCAAAUAGCCAAAGAUUUCAGCAUCAAAAUAGGAGUGGAUUCAUCUUGAAUCCAUUGCCUAAUGUUCGCAGUGUGGGAAAGAGGAAUUUGGGGUUCUAUUCAAGUCAAAUGUCAAAUAACAUAAUCCAAGAAGAUGGACAAGCUCAAAAAGCCAACUUGGCUCAGUGAAGCUUCAUCAACUUCCUGUACAGGACAAGUGAACUUAUGCAGCGGGUAAUUAGAUAUCUUAAAUUUACACACUCUGUAUUUGUAUUUUGCUAUUGUUAAAACUUUCCUUUCUAUAUUCUGUUCUGCCAUCACUUUUUGACAUCAAUUGACUAAAUUCUGUUGAAUGUUUCUGCCUUCUGUUAUCGUAUUAUUGUUGGUGAAUAUCUCAAAGGCUGCAAAUGGUUCCUAAAAAAAUUUUACAAUGGCAUGAUAGGCUUUCUUCUUUUACAUUUUCCUAAUUCUUGGUUAAUUUCUAUGGUUCUCGCAUGCGAAAUAAGAAACCAUACAGUACAGUUUUUCUUAAGUACAAUUUUUAUUUGAAUGUUAUAGCUGAAACAUAAAAUUGUUAUCAUUUUUACUGAAACUUUAGUUUUGCCAGUCAUUUUAAUUUGCAUUUUAUGCUUAAAAGAAUGCAGUAUCCUGGUUUACUUUAAUCUUUGUGAUCAUUAUCUGGAAUAUUUCAGAUAGCCUGCUUAGUCAAAGUAGCUAGGACCAUGUUUCAACGGCAAUCUUAACUGAGAAAAAGCAUCCUUGGCCGUCAAAACCUGAAGAUGCCACCGAGUGAGUCUGCUACAGAAGGUCACGAAUGUGAAAUUUCUGAAUUACUGCUGCAUUCUUAUUGAUUAUUUGGGACUGAUGUAAAAUACUAUCCAAAUUCCCUAAUUUAAAGGCAGCAUUCUCCUUUCUAUGGGGUGCCAGAGCAAGUCUCUGCACAUAAGAUUCUUAUUUAACACUUCCGUCCUCACUGAUACAAUCUGUACAGAUGGUAGGCUUGAGUCCUUCACAAUUCACACUUUUUUGCGGCUUGUUGUGCUUGUUUUGUAUGGUGAACAAAGCUUCCAUUUUUGUGGGAAUUUCUUGAUUUGUUCUUAUAGGCUUCUAGCCCAACCGUGAAUGAAUAAUUUGUGAAAUGGUGGGAAUGCAAUCCAUGUAACAAAA